rnacentral:rRNA from 1 species
GACGAACGCUGGCGGCGUGCUUAACACAUGCAAGUCGAGCGGUAAGGCCCUUUCGGGGGUACGACGAACGGCGAACGGGUGAGUAACACGUGGGUGACCUGCCCUCAGCUCUGGGAUAAGCCUGAGAAACUGGGUCUAAUACCGGAUAUGACUCCAUGACGCAUGUUGUGGGGUGGAAAGCCUUGUGCGGCUGAGGAUGGGCCCGCGGCCUAUCAGCUUGUUGGUGGGGUGAGGCCUACCAAGGCGACGACGGGUAGCCGGCCUGAGAGGGCGACCGGCCACACUGGGACUGAGACACGGCCCAGACUCCUACGGGAGGCAGCAGUGGGGAAUCUUGCGCAAUGGGCGAAAGCCUGACGCAGCGACGCCGCGUGA